rnacentral:rRNA from 1 species
GACGAACGCUGGCGGCGUGCUUAACACAUGCAAGUCGAACGGAAAGGCCCUGCUUUUGUGGGGUGCUCGAGUGGCGAACGGGUGAGUAACACGUGAGUAACCUGCCCUUGACUUUGGGAUAACUUCAGGAAACUGGGGCUAAUACCGGAUAGGAGCUCCUGCUGCAUGGUGGGGGUUGGAAAGUUUCGGCGGUUGGGGAUGGACUCGCGGCUUAUCAGCUUGUUGGUGGGGUAGUGGCUUACCAAGGCUUUGACGGGUAGCCGGCCUGAGAGGGUGUCCGGCCACAUUGGGCCUGAGAUACGGCCCAGACUCCUACGGGAGGCAGCAGUGGGGAAUAUUGCACAAUGGGCGGAAGCCUGAUGCAGCAACGCCGCGUGCGGGAUGACGGCCUUCGGGUUGUAAACCGCUUUCGCCUGUGACGAAGCGUGAGUGACGGUAAUGGGUAAAGAAGCACCGGCUAACUACGUG